CUUUCAGUCGGAUUUUUACAGC
rnacentral:miRNA from 1 species